GACGAACGCUGGCGGCGUGCUUAACACAUGCAAGUCGAACGGAAAGGCCUCAGCUUGCUGGGGUACUCGAGUGGCGAACGGGUGAGUAACACGUGGGUGAUCUGCCUUGCACUCUGGGAUAAGCUUGGGAAACUGGGUCUAAUACCGGAUAUGAACUGCCUUUAGUGUGGUGGUUGGAAAGUUUUUUCGGUGCAAGAUGAGCUCUCGGCCUAUCAGCUUGUUGGUGGGGUAAUGGCCUACCAAGGCGUCGACGGGUAGCCGGCCUGAGAGGGUGUACGGCCACAUUGGGACUGAGAUACGGCCCAGACUCCUACGGGAGGCAGAAGUGGGGAAUAUUGCACAAUGGGCGGAAGCCUGAUGCAGCGACGCCGCGUGGGGGAUGACGGCCUUCGGGUUGUAAACUCCUUUCGACAGGGACGAAGCUUUUUGUGACGGUACCUGUAUAAGAAGCACCGGCUAACUACGUG
rnacentral:rRNA from 1 species